rnacentral:rRNA from 1 species
GACGAACGCUGGCGGCGUGCUUAACACAUGCAAGUCGAACGGUGAAGCUCCAGCUUGCUGGAGUGGACCAGUGGCGAACGGGUGAGUAACACGUGAGCAACCUGCCCCUGACUCUGGAAUAAGCGCUGGAAACGGCGUCUAAUACUGGAUACGAGAAGGGUCCGCAUGGGCACUUUCUGGAAAGUUUUUCGGUUGGGGAUGGGCUCGCGGCCUAUCAGCUUGUUGGUGAGGUAAUGGCUCACCAAGGCGACGACGGGUAGCCGGCCUGAGAGGGCGACCGGCCACACUGCGACUGCGACACGGCCCAGACUCCUACGGGAUGCAGCAGUGGGGAAUAUUGCACAAUGGGCGCAAGCCUGAUGCAGCGACGCCGCGUGAGGGAUGACGGCCUUCGGGUUGUAAACCUCUUUCAGCAGGGAAGAAGCGAAAGUGACGGUACCUGCAGAAGAAGCACCGGCUAACUACGUG